GAUGAACGCUGGCGGCGUGCCUAAUACAUGCAAGUCGAGCGAUCAGACGAGGAGCUUGCUCCUCUGACGUUAGCGGCGGACGGGUGAGUAACACGUGGAUAACCUACCUAUAAGACUGGGAUAACUUCGGGAAACCGGAGCUAAUACCGGAUAAUAUAUUGAACCGCAUGGUUCAAUAGUGAAAGACGGUUUUGCUGUCACUUAUAGAUGUAUCCGCGCUGCAUUAGCUAGUUGGUAAGGUAACGGCUUACCAAGGCAACGAUGCGUAGCCGACCUGAGAGGGUGAUCGGCCACACUGGAACUGAGACACGGUCCAGACUCCUACGGGAGGCAGCAGUAGGGAAUCUCCCGCAAUGGGCGAAAGCCUGACGGAGCAACGCCGCGUGAGUGAUGAAGGUCUUCGGAUCGUAAAACUCUGUUAUUAGGGAAGAACAAAUGUGUAAGUAACUAUGCACGUCUUGACGGUACCUAAUCAGAAAGCCACGGCUAACUACGUG
rnacentral:rRNA from 1 species